UGCAGUCGACGAUGCUUUCGGGCAUAGUGGCGCACGGGUGCGUAACGCGUGGGAAUCUGCCCUUUGGUCUGGGAUAACUGUUGGAAACGACAGCUAAUACCGGAUGAUGACGUAAGUCCAAAGAUUUAUCGCCAGAGGAUGAGCCCGCGUCGGAUUAGCUAGUUGGUGGGGUAAAGGCCUACCAAGGCGACGAUCCGUAGCUGGUCUGAGAGGAUGAUCAGCCACACUGGGACUGAGACACGGCCCAGACUCCUACGGGAGGCAGCAGUGGGGAAUAUUGGACAAUGGGCGAAAGCCUGAUCCAGCAAUGCCGCGUGAGUGAUGAAGGCCUUAGGGUUGUAAAGCUCUUUUACCCGGGAUGAUAAUGACAGUACCGGGAGAAUAAGCUCCGGCUAACUCCGUGCCAGCAGCCGCGGUAAUACGGAGGGAGCUAGCGUUGUUCGGAAUUACUGGGCGUAAAGCGCACGUAGGCGGCUUUGUAAGUUAGAGGUGAAAGCCUGGAGCUCAACUCCAGAACUGCCUUUGAUACUGCAUGGCUUGAAUCCAGGAGAGGUGAGUGGAAUUCCGAGUGUAGAGGUGAAAUUCGUAGAUAUUCGGAAGAACACCAGUGGCGAAGGCGGCUCACUGGACUGGUAUUGACGCUGAGGUGCGA
rnacentral:rRNA from 1 species